AUAAUUUAGGGUUUAGAGUCCCUUCUUCCGCACUGGUACCUGGUAUAUACCUACCAUCUACCUAUAUCACUAAAGUGGUACGAGUUCGAAUCUCGUUCUGGGCACCA
rnacentral:tRNA from 1 species